GAAAGUAUAGCUCAGUGGUAGAGUGUGUGCUUAGCAUGCACGAGGCCCUAGGUUCAAUCCUCAGUACCUCCA
rnacentral:tRNA from 1 species